GCCGGUGUGAUGGAAUUGGCAGACGUAGUGGACUCAAAAUCCACCGGGCUAAUAACCCGUGCCGGUUCGAGUCCGGCCACCGGCACCA
rnacentral:tRNA from 1 species